UUGGAGGUUGUGCCCUUGAGGCGUGGCUUCCGGAGCUAACGCGUUAAAUCGACCGCCUGGGGAGUACGGCCGCAAGGUUAAAACUCAAAUGAAUUGACGGGGGCCCGCACAAGCGGUGGAGCAUGUGGUUUAAUUCGAUGCAACGCGAAGAACCUUACCUACUCUUGACAUCCAGAGAAUUCGCUAGAGAUAGCUUAGUGCCUUCGGGAACUCUGAGACAGGUGCUGCAUGGCUGUCGUCAGCUCGUGUUGUGAAAUGUUGGGUUAAGUCCCGCAACGAGCGCAACCCUUAUCCUUUGUUGCCAGCGAUUCGGUCGGGAACUCAAAGGAGACUGCCGGUGAUAAACCGGAGGAAGGUGGGGAUGACGUCAAGUCAUCAUGGCCCUUACGAGUAGGGCUACACACGUGCUACAAUGGCGUAUACAAAGAGAAGCGAACUCGCGAGAGCAAGCGGACCUCAUAAAGUACGUCGUAGUCCGGAUUGGAGUCUGCAACUCGACUCCAUGAAGUCGGAAUCGCUAGUAAUCGUAGAUCAGAAUGCUACGGUGAAUACGUUCCCGGGCCUUGCACUCAGCGCCCGUCA
rnacentral:rRNA from 1 species